AAGAAUGAUAAAAGUUAAAGCUUUAGGGUUAGAAACCAUGUCUUCAUUCUCUUCUUAAAUCACCGUGUCUUCAUUCUAUUCUUAAAUCUAAUUGUCUGAAGCUUAGGUUUAGCAUCACCAGUUCAUUCUCCUUUGUUCGAAGCUAAAAAGCUAUUAUCUUCAUUCUCUUCUUCUUAUUGUCUAAGCUUAGGGUUAGCAUCGCCAUUUCCUUCUCUCUUGUUCGCAGCUAAAAUUGGCAGCAGAAUUAAAGGGUAAAUUGACAGCAGAAUUAAAGGGUAAAUUCGCAGCAGAAUUCAAGCUAUUGUCGUCUUGCAAUUGUUUUGGGAUUAAGUUGUAUAAAAGGACGGAAUUCCUACUCAUUUGGAGAUCAGUUUGUCCACUUCAAUGUCAGCAUUCCCACAUGCAUAUUCAAUUCCUUAUAUGCUGUACUAUUGAGAAUAUACCAGUGCGAUUAGCCUUCCAUGACGGUCUGUCCCUCUCCAUAUUUAAAUUGUUUAACUUUGCCGUAGUGUUGGAGAAGGAGGUUAUAAUUUCCCGCUCCCAAUCAUUCAAGUUUCUUCGUAGCUGAAACUAUUCAAGCUAUACAAUUGGAGAAACAGAAUAUUCUAAAGUUAAUUGAACAAGAGCAGCAACAAGUAGCACCACCAGUACCACCAUCUAGAUAAAUUGAACAAUCUAUAGUGGUAGAGGAGCAGCAUGCAGAGGAUGAGCAACAUGUAGAGGAUCAGGUCCAAAUGACAGAUUCAGCCACUCCUACAACAGCUGAACAUUCUAAAGCGCAAGCUGUAGGGCCUUUACCUAGAAAAGAAAGAGGCAAAACAUAAAUGCACAAGGUACAUGGUCGGUAAGAGAAAAAAUUGAUCUCAUUAAACCAGAACAACCAACCUACCUGUUGGUCCCAUAGAUGACAUUGUAAUUGAAUUGGGCAGCUUCCUAGGAACAUUGGCAAGGAAAGCGACCCUUUGCCUAUUGUAUAUAUUUGAUUGGAGGCAUAUGGAUACUAAACAGGAGUUAUGGGAGUAUACUCAGGAAAAAUAUGAUAUUCCUGAUGCCGCAAAACAUUGGGUUUUGGAAAUAUUCGAGAUUCUUGGAGAAAGCAUAGAAAUUAUUUGAAAAGAGACCACUAAGAUCCAUAUGAUGAUGAUGUUGCUCAAUUAAACAGCUCCUCGUGUAUUGGAAGACCAAAAAAUUCCAGGCUCAAAUGGAGGAAUUUAAAACACAACAGAGAGCAAAUGAACAACCCGUUGAUGUAUUUUCAACCGUCAUGGGUGUUGAACAUUUGGGACAUGUGAGACUGCUUGGAGGGGAGUUACAAGGACUUCUUUGAAAAUAUUAAAUUGAAGCUCCAGAAAACGUUAAAUGAAAUAAGUGAUGUUGUCCAACAAAUGCAAGAAAAGAUGUUAAAAAAUGGAGGAUCAAAUCGAGGAGCAAAAGAGAACAAUUCGACAUGAAGUUGUUGCAGAUGUAAUUGCUCAAUUUCAGAAUGCAGGAAUAAUUGAUCCGAAGAUACUGGCAGUAUUAUCCUUCUCUUCACCAAUAGAAUCGACUUCUACACUAGCAGGCACUCAAAACAGUCAAGAUUAGUAUUUGAAUUCUGAAUUGUACUCCAUUUCAUGUAGUGGCAUAUGGUGGCUGACUGUAUUGGAGUGUUAUUUGUGGUUGGUAACUAAGAGAAAGGAGUCAGUAGAGUGGAGUCUUGUGCAUUUCUAAAUUGGUUGUUGGAGUGUUGUUUGUUGGAUAAAUUACCUUAUCAGCAACUAAGUACUUCCCAGUUGUUUUCCCCAGUUGCUGAGAAGACCGUGUGACAUCAAGACUAUCAUCCACAACUUGAAAUAACAACCCAAUACAUCUUACAAACUUUCUUAGCUUCUCCAUAUCUUCAUUCUGCCCCUUCUAAAAUAGCCCCGAUCACAAUAGACCCUUCUCAUAAAGCUGCUGUUUUGUGCAAAUAAAUCAAUUUGAACUGCUUUAAAUCAACAUUAGAAAUGCCCUCGGAUAUUAUAUCUACAACCUGUCCAGCUACAAGAGGUUAUGGACCUUUGAUGUUAUUGGAGAAAUUGGGAAAGUUAAAAAUUUGAGAGAGUGCUUAAGGACCUGUAUGAAUUAUGAAGCACUGGGAAGCAAUCGAAUAUUGACUUGACUUGGUAUACAUGGAACUGUUUUUGAUUUUACUGCAGGUUGCCCUAUAUAAAGAAAUUUUUUGUUGUCGGAAGUUCUGCAUCAAUAUAGCCUGCAUUACAUGAGCAUAUAUAGUACUUGUAAAUUAAACUUUGUCAUGUAACUCGUUACCCACCGCACUUUGAGAUCUGCUCAAAACUUUCCUUGGGGCAGAGAUUAGAUGGAUAGUUUUCUGGUCUAUCUUCAUUUUAGAAAAAAGAUUUUGAUAGGUUGUUCAAAUUUAGUUUUGUAUUUACCAUUGGAUGUUGAAAAAUGUGUUAGAACUAUCUUUCUCACAUGUUCCCA